rnacentral:rRNA from 1 species
AGUGAACGCUGGCGGUAGGCCUAACACAUGCAAGUCGAACGGCAGCACAGUAAGAGCUUGCUCUUACGGUUGGCGAGUGGCGGACGGGUGAGGAAUACAUCGGCAUCUACUUUUUCGUGGGGGAUAACGUAGGGAAACUGACGCUAAUACCGCAUACGACCUACGGGUGAAAGCAGUGGAUCUUCGGACCUUGCGCGAUUCAAUGAGCCGAUGUCGGAUUAGCUAGUUGGCGGGGUAAAGGCCCACCAAGGCGACGAUCCGUAGCUGGUCUGAGAGGAUGAUCAGCCACACUGGAACUGAGACACGGUCCAGACUCCUACGGGAGGCAGCAGUGGGGAAUAUUGGACAAUGGGCGCAAGCCUGAUCCAGCCAUACCGCGUGGGUGAAGAAGGCCUUCGGGUUGUAAAGCCCUUUUGUUGGGAAAGAAAAGCAGCAGGUUAAUACCCCGCUGUUCUGACGGUACCCAAAGAAUAAGCACCGGCUAACUUCGUG